rnacentral:ribozyme from 1 species
GCCGAUAUUUCCAGGAGAGUAUGAGAUUUUGGUUCACGAGAUUGAUACGAAUCGUCAUAAUGAUCCUACGUAUGAGACUCCGUUGAUUUCGCC